UGCUCCACCGGAAAAAGAGGAGUGGCGAACGGGUGAGUAACACGUGGGUAACCUGCCCAUCAGAAGGGGAUAACACUUGGAAACAGGUGCUAAUACCGUAUAACAAUCGAAACCGCAUGGUUUUGAUUUGAAAGGCGCUUUCGGGUGUCGCUGAUGGAUGGACCCGCGGUGCAUUAGCUAGUUGGUGAGGUAACGGCUCACCAAGGCCACGAUGCAUAGCCGACCUGAGAGGGUGAUCGGCCACAUUGGGACUGAGACACGGCCCAAACUCCUACGGGAGGCAGCAGUAGGGAAUCUUCGGCAAUGGACGAAAGUCUGACCGAGCAACGCCGCGUGAGUGAAGAAGGUUUUCGGAUCGUAAAACUCUGUUGUUAGAGAAGAACAAGGAUGAGAGUAACUGUUCAUCCCUUGACGGUAUCUAACCAGAAAGCCACGGCUAACUACGUGCCAGCAGCCGCGGUAAUACGUAGGUGGCAAGCGUUGUCCGGAUUUAUUGGGCGUAAACGCGAGCCGCAUGGCGGUUUCUUAAGUCUGCUGUGAAAGCCCCCGGCUCAACCGGGGAGGGUCAUUGGAAACUGGGAGACUUGAGUGCAGAAGAGGAGAGUGGAAUUCCAUGUGUAGCGGUGAAAUGCGUAGAUAUAUGGAGGAACACCAGUGGCGAAGGCGGC
rnacentral:rRNA from 1 species